rnacentral:rRNA from 1 species
UACGUAGGCAGCAAGCGUUGUUCGGAGUUACUGGGCGUAAAGGGUGUGUAGGCGGUUCUUUAAGUUUGGUGUGAAAUCUCCCGGCUCAACUGGGAGGGUGCGCCGAAUACUGAGGGGCUAGAGUACGGGAGAGGAAAGUGGAAUUCCUGGUGUAGCGGUGAAAUGCGUAGAUAUCAGGAGGAACACCGGUGGUGUAGACGGCUUUCUGGACCGUAACUGACGCUGAGACACGAAAGCGUAGGUAGCAAACAGG